rnacentral:rRNA from 1 species
AUUGAACGCUGGCGGCAGGCCUAACACAUGCAAGUCGAACGAGUGGCGGACGGGUGAGUAAUGUCUGGGAAACUGCCUGAUGGAGGGGGAUAACUACUGGAAACGGUAGCUAAUACCGCAUACCAUCGGAUGUGCCCAGAUGGGAUUAGCUAGUAGGUGGGGUAAAGGCUCCCCAAGGCGAUGAUCCCUAGCUGGUCUGAGAGGAUGACCCGCCACACUGAAACUGAGACACGGUCCAGACUCCUGCGGGAUGCAGCAGUGGGGAAGAUUGCACAAUGGGCGCAAGCCUGAUGCAGCCAUGCCGCGUGUAUGAAGAAGGCCUUCGGGUUGUAAAGUACUUUCAGCGGGGAGGCGUUACCCGCAGAAGAAGCACCGUCUAACACCGGGCCAGCAGCAGCGGUAAUUC